AGACUCCAGUCAGUCUCCCUGCAGCUUCAAGUGGCAUCAAAGAGGGACUACACAUGCUCAGAAGUGCAGAUAACUCAUGCACAAGUGGAACUGAAACAGACAAACAGACUGCUAUAGAUUGUGAAAAAAACCAACAUAGAAAUGGAGGACCUAGAAUAGUCUAUAGAAACAUCCCCACCCUGCUCAGUGCUUCAUGGUACAAUAACAGAAAGACUUUAAAGCAGUUAGAAGCAGCUAAGAGGGUGUGGAAGAAGUAAAUUUCCUUAGUUCCAGUAUCAAUUUCUGGCUGUCUACAAUCUGAUUUAAAAACAGAAAAUAAAGACUUUACAAAAUUAUAGCAAAACUGAAGAUAGUUUUGAAAUGUGCAAACAAACCUUAUGAUGAGGAAGUUAUUGUUCUGACACAGACUGGUAUGGGAUAGAGGAAGAAUCAUAGGCAGAUGAUGAAGACCUAAUAUAACAAAGAAAGAGAGAGUCAAAUCAAAACCAGUGCUUGCUCUGCAGCACAUAUACUAAAGUGGAAAUGACACAGAGAUUAGCAUGGCCAGUCCACAAAGAUAACAUGCAAAUUUCUGAAGUGUUCCAUACUUUUCUGCCAUCACAAAAAAUAUGAAAUUAUAGAACUCAUUGGUAGAGCAGAUACACAAAUGAGAAAGAGAAAGGAAUCAAAUAUUAUCACAACAGAAACCCAAAAACCUACAAAAGUAAACAAUAAAAGAGGAAGAAAGAAACAAUGGAUAUAAAAAAGAACCAGAAAACAACAAAAUGACAGGAGUGAGUCCUCACCUAUCAAUAAAAAUCUUGAAUGGAAAUGGCUUAAAUUACCUAAUUAAAAGCAUAGACUAGGUGAAUGAAUAAAAAAUAAACAAGACUCAACAUUUGCUGCCUACAAGAAACCUACUUCACCUGUAAAGACACAAUAGACCAAAAGGAAA
rnacentral:lncRNA from 1 species